GCCAUUCCUUCAUUGGUCGAAACAAGACGUUGUCAAAAUGACAUUAUUAGUUCAAAUAUUUUACAAUGCACAUCUUGGGCACAUCAUAAAUGCUGAUGCCAUAAAGCCAUAUAGACAUCCAAGGAUCAUAAGCCGUUGACAAUUUUUUGAACUAACAAUGUCACCUUGAAAGCGACAUGUUUUGACCAAUGAGGGAGAAGCAAUUGUAGAUGUGAAAGUCGCUGUUUUUAUUAUUCCAAAUUUCCAGAAAAAAAAUGUGCUAUUUUAACAUGUAGUUUUAUUACUGUAAUGUAAGGAUGAUGCUAACUUA